UCCCUUUUGAAAUGAAAAUUCCUUAAAAACUAUGUUUUUGCUCUAACCUCAAGUAAAACAAUCUGAGGAUAUUUCUGUAAUAUGACAUAAGCCAAAAGCUAUAAGCAAAGACAAGCUAUCCAAAACAUAUCUUUUUAUUGCACUUAUGAGCACAUGCUCCAAGUUUCUGAAUUUACUUUUUUAACAGAAAACAGUAAUGAGUAGUUACUGGAGGAGAAAGGGACAAUCUUUGAGCUUCUAGAAAUCAAUGGCAUGUCUACUUCUUUGUUGAUUGUACCUUGCUAAUUUUCAAAAUUGUUCGAUCAAAUUCAUACCCAAAAAGCCGAAUAAAGGGCACGAGGAAUUUAAAUAAGAAUGUGAAAAGUGAAAAAAGGCCUCCUUUUAGUUUAUGAAAGAGAAGACCUUGUAUGGCUAGUCAGCAUAUUAAUACUCCCUAAAUGUAGGGGCGAACAUGGUUCCAUUUGGUUCUAGUUCGAAGAUAAUCGAAUCGAAUUGAACCGAACCGAACCGAACCAUGAACCAAAUGGUUUUUUUUUUUUUUUAAAGAUAUGGA
rnacentral:lncRNA from 1 species